AUUAAAAAAAAUGUAAUUUGGGGGAUUAGGGUACGGAUUAGAUUAGGGUUAGGGGAAUUUUCUAAUUUAGAAGAAUGGUAUAUAAUUAGGGCCAAUGAAGUUAGGGCUAAUUUGUAAUUAGUGGGAAUUUAAUUAGAAAAUGUAAUUUGGGGGAUUAGGGGGAUUAAGGUUUUAAUUAUUAUUCUUAUUUAUCAAAUUAAGGUUAGGGAUAGCUUUUAUUGGCCGGAUUAGGUUAGGGUUCUAGGAGAAUAGGUUACGGUUCUGGUGGAUUAAUUUCAAUUUGUACAAAAUAGUUAUAUACUGUUAUUUUGUAAUUACACAUUUAGUUUUAAAUUUGCUUACAUAUACGAUUUAAUUUUUAAAUUAUUAACUUUAGUUUUAAUUUCAUUUCUCUUUCAAUUUUGUAGAUGUCUUACCUUAUAUCUACCCGGAAGGCCACGAGCCGUGGGUCCCUUGCACAUCCUCUACCACCUCCUACUGCGAGGAGCACCCCAACGACAAUGGACCCUCUCAUGGUUGCAUCAGGAGGCCCGAUGUGGCACAGGCACCAGCAUCAUCGAUGUCUUCGUUUGCGCUUCCGCUUAGUGCGCAUUGUACUCACCAGUGUCCCCAGACUCCCGACACGAUAUCCAUAUCCGCAUUUGCAUUUGACGCCACCCACCCAGAAAAACACCUAGGGAGCUUGCCAACUAGCUAAAGACGGGGUAGGUCUCUUAGGUGACAAAUGAUCGUAUCACGAUAGGAUACGACGAGAGGCAUCAGGCUGCACCUACAGCAGAGUAGCAUAGUGCAUUGGCCCACGACGUGGGACAUGUCGUUAGGACUGAGUACCCUAUGCUAUGGAAAUCAUGGCGUGAGGUCCUGGCGAAGACGAAGAACCUAGUCUGCGACUGUUUAUCGAUAAGUUCCUAAAUUUGUUUCAUUCAAUUAUAUAUCAAGUUCAUAUUUUUAUAUUAUUUUUUUUCCUUUUUCAACUUUAACUUCAAUUUUAAUUUUGGUUUUUCUAUUAUUUUAAUCUAAUGCUCGGUAAAUUGUAGACAAACUACAAUUUUGACGACAUAAACAAGUCGAUGGAUGGCUACCUGGACAAGUUGUUUUUCGUGUGGUACAAGCAAUGGAAGAGCGACCUCCAUAAACAUUAUGAGUUGUUUGAUGAUCAGGAGGUCGCUCUAAAGGAUGGUUGCCUAUUGGAGUUGGUGGAUCAGCUAGAUGAGUGGGCAUGGUUUGCGGCCAUUUUCAAGAGCCGCCUAUGUGAAGAAGGCGAAGGUGAACAAGAUCAAUCGGGAGAAGAAAAUGUUCUCCAUUAUUCUGGUUCAUGACCCUUCUCCCAUAGGAUGGAAGCGUGACGACAGGUAAUGAGAGUUUAAUAUUUGCACUUCCAAUUUCUUACAAAUAUAUUU